GGUCACGAGUGACAGCGACGAAGGCCCCGGCCCGCUGUCCGGCAACCCUCCUUCCGUGGUGGGGUGCCCCGGGUGAUGACCGGGCCGUACGGCAGCAGGGCCGUUCGGCAAGCACGGAUC
rfam:Streptomyces abyssalis strain SCSIO 10390 scaffold1, whole genome shotgun sequence.